UUUUAAGCAAUUGUGAGCUUGUAAGACCCCCUUUCGGGGACCCCCACUCCAGUCUCGGGAGUGUGAGAGCACCCAAAGAAACACGAGGACCC
rnacentral:pre_miRNA from 7 species